GGGACCUAUGGUUUAGGAUGUGAACAUAACUGCAGUGACCAGUGUUUGAAUGGAACUCUCUGCAAAGAAGAAAAUGGAUUUUGUGUAAGGGGGUGUAAUCCAGGUUAUUUCGGAGUCCUCUGUGACGAAACCUGUCCAAGUGGAUUGUUUGGUAACAAUUGCAGUGAACGUUGUUGUAAAUACUGUAACAAUGGAACAUGCGACCAAAUCAAUGGAAGUUGUAUUAAAGGAUGUUUGAAUGGUUACAUGGGGAUAAGGUGUUUAAAUCCUUGUCCGAACGGUACCUUCGGCUAUAAGUGUAGUAACACUUGCUCCAAAAAUUGUAUUGGUAUAUGUGACCAUACGGAUGGUCGAUGCGACUGUUUACCCGGAUUUGCAGGUUCACCAAAUUGCAAAACAGAAUGUACACAAGGAUUCUUUGGAGUAAAUUGUCAGCAUAGAUGUAGUACUCACUGUUUUAACGGUGAAACCUGUAGUAGGUUUGAUGGAAUCUGUCCCCAGGGAUGUCAGGAUUAAUAUCACGGACUACUCUGUGAUUAUCAGGAUAAAACGUCAAGUGGAAAAUGGACCCUAGAGUUCUAUAUAUUAGUAGUCCUGAGCAUCAUAUUUGGAUUAUUGAUUUUCGUCUUUCUAAU